rnacentral:rRNA from 1 species
UACGUAGGGUGCAAGCGUUGUCCGGAAUUAUUGGGCGUAAAGAGCUCGUAGGCGGUCUGUCACGUCGGCUGUGAAAACCCGAGGCUCAACCUCGGGCCUGCAGUCGAUACGGGCAAACUAGAGUACUGCAGGGGAGACUGGAAUUCCUGGUGUAGCGGUGAAAUGCGCAGAUAUCAGGAGGAACACCAAUAGCGAAGGCAGCUCGCUGGGACGUACUGACACUGAGGCGCGAAAGCGUGGGGAGCGAACAGG